UACGUAGGGGGCAAGCGUUGUCCGGAAUCAUUGGGCGUAAAGAGCGUGUAGGCGGCUCGAUAAGUCUGCUGUGAAAGCCCAGGGCUCAACCCUGGAAGGCCGGUGGAAACUGUCGGGCUAGAGUCCGGAAGAGGCGAGUGGAAUUCCCGGUGUAGCGGUGAAAUGCGCAGAUAUCGGGAGGAACACCAAUGGCGAAGGCAGCUCGCUGGGACGGUUCUGACGCUGAGACGCGAAAGCGUGGGGAGCAAACAGG
rnacentral:rRNA from 1 species